AUGACGUCAAAUCAUCAUGCCCCUUAUGUUCUGGGCUACACACGUGCUACAAUGGCCGGUACAGAGUGACGCGAAGCCGCGAGGUGGAGCAAAUCGCAGAAAAUCGCUCUCAGUUCGGAUUGGAGUCUGAAACCCGACUCCAUGAAGGUGGAAUCGCUAGUAAUCGCGCAUCAGCAUGGCGCGGUGAAUACGUUCCCGGGCCUU
rnacentral:rRNA from 1 species